rnacentral:piRNA from 1 species
UGAAUGGGAAAUGGAAAGGAAUAGGUCAU